GACGAACCGUGCGAACGUUAUUCGGAAUCACUGGGCUUAAAGCGCGUGUAGGCGGGACGGCACGUCGGUCGCUGAAAUCCCCCGGCUCAACCGGGGAACGGGCGCCGAUACGACCGUCCUGGAGGGACGUAGGGGGACCUGGAGCUUCCGGUGGAGUGGUGAAAUGCGUUGAGAUCGGAAGGAACGCCCGUGGCGAAAGCGAGGUCCUGGACGUUUUCUGACGCUGAGACGCGAAAGCCAGGGGAGCGAACGGG
rnacentral:rRNA from 1 species